rnacentral:rRNA from 1 species
CAGCCGCCGCGGGAAUACGAAGGGUGCAAGCGUUAAUCGGAAUUACUGGGCGUAAAGCGUGCGUAGGCGGUUUGUUAAGUCUGCUGUGAAAUCCCCGGGCUCAACCUGGGAAUGGCAGUGGAUACUGGCAAGCUAGAGUGUGUCAGAGGAUGGUGGAAUUCCCGGUGUAGCGGUGAAAUGCGUAGAGAUCGGGAGGAACAUCAGUGGCGAAGGCGGCCAUCUGGGACAACACUGACGCUGAGGCACGAAAGCGUGGGGAGCAAACAGGAUUAGAUACCCGUGUAGUCCCUGUCUAUUAUAC